AAAGAAGUUUGAAAAGUUUAAAAAGUAAAAAAAAAAUAAAGGAAAGAAAAAAUAAAGUCAAAAAGUCCUCUAAAAUGUGACUUGUAAUAAAUAUAGGCAGUACCUCAAUGCACUGGCAUGAUUUUUCAGCAAAAUAUUCAUGGAUACUGGGCAGAGAACGCACAAAUAAAACAAAAGGUGCGUCUUGGGUGUUAUUUCAGAAAAAUCCUCAAGCAGACCUCAACCUGUAUCCUGGCCAGACUCCUCUGUUAUAAAGUAGCCUCUUGUUAACACAGCACGAAGAGUAAUUGCACAGACAAACAUAAGGCACGGAGCAGCCGUGCGUAAAUUAUUUCUUUUAAUAUGUCACUGGAAUUCCUAAAGGAAAUCUGGCUUUAAAAAAAAAAAGAAAAAAAUUAAUUUUGUUUCUCAUUUAUUUCUAGGAACUCGAGUUACGCAACAGGCUGGUGCGGAGUGGAGAGGGACUCUCUUAUUGUCAGCCCAGACUAAUCCAAGCGCCGCACUCUUCCUCUUUGCAGAAACACUAGAGGAGUUUCUAUCCUCUUUUGUGCAGUUCAGUGAAUUCUCCACGGGGUUCUCCAUCUAUCUGGCAGGUCACAUUACAGCUCCACUCUGGUAACCGAUCUGGCCAUUGGUUUCUACAGGAGAAGUGUUAUUGAUGAAUUACUGCACAUGGCGCUGAGAGUUAUGUUGCAGAGUUGUUACUUUUUGGCUAGGGAGCUUUCCUGGGAACUUUCCAUGAUGUACUGGAUAGCUAAAGGGUUUUGGACAAUAUGUAGCACAUACAGCUGCCAUAACUCAUUAUGACCAAUAAACAGAGCGAGCAAAAUGGAUAGUAAAGUUGAAGAUCAAAGAUGCCAGCAGGACAUGCAUAUCUGUGAUUAGUGAUUAAUUUUACUCCGUUAGAGAAAGCUGCCUGACUUCAAAAGAUUCUAGACCUCCUGGCAAGGCAUAGAAAUAAGUCCCCAAAGUCAGCAUGUUAUGACAAUUGCAGUUUCCCUCAACAUGAGACAGCACUGAUUGCGCUGCCAAAUGCCAGCUGAACAGAUUUAUUUUCUCUGAGACCACUUUUUCUUUCCAUUGAAGCCUUCUCUGUACUUUCCCAUGAGGUGUAGUUAUAAACAGAAUUGGUACCAUUGCCCUAGAGUAGGUCUGUAUUAAAGCUCAGCAGAAAAUAAUUUUGCUGUUCUGUUGCAAUAUUUGGCUUCCUGCAGUACAGCCCCCCUGCACACAGAUACGAACACACCAAAAACUAAACUCAGAGAAAGUAAAACUCAUAUUUGGUUUACACCAAAUCAAACAUUUUAUGUCACUGAUUAUGAAACUUCUGAUUUUAGCAAUUUGCAGUUAUUUUCACAUAGUAUAAUUUUCUCAAAAGAGGAACCUUAAUUUUUUAUUGUCAGAAUAUGGCAUUUCAGCAUUUUUUUUCAACAUUUUUUUUCAAGUCAGGAGAUUAACUGAAACCAAUGUUUUUCUGUAGUGUUUUAGUUACUAGGAAUUGUGUCUUUCCUAUGAAAAAUAGUUCAAAAACUUUCAACCAACUCUAGUAUUUAUGCCAAAAUGUUUCACAGUAAUACCCUGUGGAGUCUUAAAGCAAAGACAGCAUCAAAAGAAGGAGUUAAACAUUGCAGAUAAGGGAUGGAUGAUGAAGUUAAAGUGUACAGUGCCAUCCUUAUUCAAUCUUUUCAUACAAAGCUUCAUAAAAAAGAGGGAUACUGGAAAAGAUGUUCACUAGCCUUCCAGAAGAUGGCAGAAAGAAGAGAACAUCAUCCAUGGAGACAGGAUUGGAUCCAGUUUUUGAGAGACCAUUUAUCUCCUGUCUUCUGGAGCUGUCAUGCACAGGGUGAUGAGGACAGAGGACUGUUUAUCAAAAAGAGAAGGGAGGCAGGUUUCCCACCCUACUGAAAUGGCUUCGGAUACAUGGUAACCCAAACCAGAGUAACAAACCUUGGCUCUGAUUCCCAGCUUCCAUGAACUGCAAGGAUGAAUGUUGGAUUUUUUAGCUUUGAUUCAUCCAGUUUAGAGAGCAAUUGUCCAUCUAUGUUCUGUAAUUCAGUUAUGAACUGGUCUCCAAACUUUCCUUGCGUCAAGGUCUCAGUUUCUAUUUCUUUGGUUUGCAAAGCCCAUUUAUUCUAUUGCCAUCUUGCCUUUGCCUCAUAUUGCAAACAUCCAAUAAGCCUGAAGGUACUGGGAAAAGGGGGUUGAUGCAAUAUGGGGUUGAUCCAAUACCUUCUUUAUUUAAGACAGGAAGCAUGUAAGCAGAUGAUCUAUUAAUACAACAUUUAUUAAUACUCUUCUCACACACAGGAACCAAAAAUCACAAGGCUUGCUUUGAAGCUGGGACUCUUCUAUAUGCACUAAAAUGAGUUUCCAGCGAAGCGCAGGUGCAUGCCAUAUGAGCAGAAGAAACCCUGGGACCGUGAGCGAGGGAUUUGAUGACUGCUGUGUGCUCAGUGCCCCGAGCAGAUUCACGUCAAGGUGGUUGUGCCACUCAGACGUUUCCUACGAGGACCAUUAAUAUGAAGCAUGAGCGUUGUUGCCUGUUGACAUGUCGGCUAACAAGGAUGAGACAUCAGACUCAGGUUCCCAGAAGGGGUGCCUACAUUUUUGUGGUUUUUCAACCAUUAUAAAUUUUGCUUUCUAGCACAGUGUGGGACCGGCCAGCUGAGAGAUCUGCUUUUGUUUUCCCUCUCCUUCAUUUGAUGAUUGAAGCUUUUCAAACAUAACUACAACACACGGCAAAUAUCCACGAUGAAUUUCUAGAUAAAUAAACACUUGGGCCAAGGUUAUUUUGGAAGAACAGCAGUCUCAGUGCCUCCAAAUGCCAAAUAAUAGAGUGAACUGAGCCCAGCCUUUUUUUUCCUGAGUUGGAGGACUUCUGGUGUCCCUACUGUUAACCUGUGCUUCUCUGUUUUGUGGCUUUGCUUCAUGUUUUUGAAGCACUGUGAAAGACACAGGGCUGGUUAAGAGUCAGUGCAGGUUCCCACUGAGAUAAAGGAGAUUCUUCCCAUUGCCAUGUUGCCCAGUGGCAGGGUGAGAAUUGCUCCUGGUGUGAGUGCUCGGGAGGUGUGGGGUCAACCCCUGGCAGGGUGAUCCACACAAGAUGACCACUCCGCCCUUACCAGGUGGAGAUGACUCAGAAGAUGUGCUGGAGGCAGACUUGCAUCGCCUAACCAUAGCUCUUGGCUCUCAUGGUCUGCUCAUCUGCGGCUUUGCCUUCACUCCCUUGUUUCCUUAGAUGAGUUCUUCUGCCUGCUUAUUUGUGUUAGAAAAAUUAUCAGUCUUGUAUUUCGGUCUGUGUCGCUUCCUCUGGGCCUGUUUUGUUAUUGUACACAGGGAUGUCUCUAAUGAAGUGGACGGAAGGAGGAGGACUCAAGGCUUAUUUUUAUCCUAUACAUUGGAAGUUGGCCAGAACAGGGAAAAAUAGAGCAGAAAGUCCUCAGAGCAUUUCCACUCCUCAGGCCUGCAGGCAGCAAUCCUCACCGACCUUGCUCAAAUGUUCCACUGCUGCCGAGGAGAACUUUCUCUGCAGUUUUGUUUGUUUGUUUUUGAAAGGAAAAGUACGCGUUGCUUCCUGCCACAGGGAUGGGGCUUGCUGCCCUGCCAUUGCUGACAUCCAAGUUUCUCUUAUUAAUGAAUUAAGCCUCAGACCACCAGACUAACUUCAAAAAAAGAAAAAGGAUUUGUAUGUAUGAAUUGGUAGUGUGACAACACCUAGAGGCAGUGGUGGAGCUGGCAGAUAGAUCAUGGGUUUCUAAAGGGAGGUGAGAGCUGGUCCAAGGAGCCUCAAACUAGAACAGAUGGGAUCAGGGUAGCAAUAUAGGGCAGAAAUUCAGAAAAAUAUAAUGGCCAUCCUGCUACCAUGGAGAAGAGAAAGCAAUAGGAUAAAGCCCAACCUUGUGUUUUUUGGUUCAAUGAGCGGUCCAUUAGACCAUGCUGCUGCCCUAGAAAUUUUUGGGGAACUGUGGAAUGUGUUUCAUGACUAGAUGUUCACCUGGCAUUCACAUUUUCUUGGUCCCAUUAACUCUCCUUUCCAAAAGGACUGCAGGGCAUCUUUUUUGUUGUUGUUGUUUUGUUUUGUUUUGUUUCUCUGAGUGGUGCUGUCCAAGAAGAGGAGCAUCAGAGCAGACAGCCGGGGCUCUCCCACGCAGCUUCCCCAACACAGGCCAGCAUUACCACUGAGCAUCUUCCUCCUCUGCCACCAGUCCUGUAGUACAGCUGGGCUUCAAAAGAGGAUGCUCCUCUCCCACGUACUUCAAAGAGAAACCAGGAGUCACAGAAAAAUUACUCCCACUCACAAGACAAGGGGAAAUCCUUUCCUAACAGGGGAUCAUCCUGUUAAAAUGAGGAUGUCUGGUGAUUUAUGACUUGAUGCUUUAAACCCUCCUCCUCCUACAAAAGAAACACAGCAGACAGCAAAGCUGGAGGCAGAUACACGAGAGAGCUGACAUUGGCAGCACUUGAAAUAUAGCAGGGGAGAGAUGGGGAAACCCUUUUUUCUGUCCUCAUUAACAUGACUUAAUUAACAGUUUUAAUCUUAUCAAACAGAGGCUGCCAUGCAGGAGGGAUAUGCAGGCUGGAAAUGAAAGCUUUAAUAAAUAGAUAUUUUAAGACAAAAAAUGAAUGCUGGGCAGUUACACCUGACUUUGCAAGUAAUUGAUACCAGAUGUAGAACUUUUCAACUGAAAAAAAAAAAUGGAUUGAAUGUGAAGGUGUUUUUCUUAUGAUUUUUUAAAUAAUAAUUUUAACAAGAAAAUUUUGAGUGAUUGAUUUUGCAAACUUCAACUCAUCUGCACUGAACUGGCUUCCAUUUUAAUUUUCUUCUCUAAGUGUCUUAGACAAAGAUUGGCUGCUCUGUAGGGCUUAGAUUUCCAUCUUCUUCAUUUUUCUGCUGUUAUUGAAUCCAACUUUGAAAAGAAUAUUCUCAAGCUGGGGCAAAGAAAAUGUUGCAUUUUGACACUGUGGAACCCUUGCAAACUACAUUAAACACUACAAAAAUUAAUAGCUCUGCCACGAGUUUUGUUAUUGUCUCUGACAUUUUUAUAGCUGUCCCAGCUCAUUUAAUUUGUGUUAGCCUUGGCCUGGGUCUUGGGAGUAGUAGCACCCCUUAAUCUCAAGAAUAUCUUGGCAAUUUGAUGUCUCGUGUGGCAGUAAGGCAGGUUCUCCUCCCAGGAAUCUAGAGAAGACAGAGUUUCAGAAGAAGGUCCUCUAUCACACAUGGAAGUUGAAUGGCUGGUCAGAUUGCAUCAAGAGCUAGAAAUAGAAAGAUUAUUUGUGCUAAGUUUUAAGUGAAAAAGAGAAGUCCCAUCUCAGGACCCACAGAGAAGUAGAAAGCAAAGAUGGCUAAAAGAGACAGAACUUGGUGUGGGGCAGCUCUGGGGGAGAGUCAGAAGAACAGAUUGUCCAAGUUGCCACCAUAUCUGCUUCCCUACAUGGAGCAAUUCAUUCAAACACGAGGUAGUCCUUGUCUCUGAACUGGGGUUGUGCCAGGGGAGGUUUAGAUUGGAUUAGGAAAACCUUUUUCACAGAAAGGAUUGUCAGACAUUGGAACAGGCUGCCCAGGGAAGUGAUGGAGUCACCAUCCCGGGGGUAUUUAAAAGACGUGUAGAUGUGGCACUUAGGAACAUGGUUUAGUGGUGGACUUGGAAGUGCUACGUUAAUGGUUGGACUCAACAAUCUUAAAGGUCUUUUCCAACUUAAAUUAUUCUAUGAUUCUAUGUCCAGAUUAAAUUACUGUAUACCCUUUCAUAAUCUAGGUAUUUCUAAGAAAGCCUUUGAAAGCCCAGGUUCACUCAGAACAGCUUUUGAAUAUAGACAAGGUCAUGGUUUUAAUCCAGACAAAGUCCAUCAAUCUUAGAGGAUUUUAUACCGGCACCCGUGAUAUUUGAAUUCGCACUUGGACGUUUAGCAUGGGCCAUUAACUGGACAGUUUUCUCGAUGCUAAAGGGAGAGAGUGACUGUGAAUUAUAGAGCCACGUCCUUACUGGCGGCUAUAAAUUUGGAUAAACCUCUUCCCCUAGUGCUCUGGAUUCUCGCAUGCUGUCUCCUCAGGCUGCUUCCCUCUCACUUGUGAAAUAUAUUACAGUAGCCAAAUUACCAGGGGAUGAAUGACCUCGGUAAAUUCACUGGCUCUGCUCUAAGAGAAGAUACCAUGCUGUGGAGAACAGAGUGAGAACGUAUUUUUCUCCCCAAACUUGCAAUUAUUCCCAUUGUGUGUGAAUUUUAUUGGCAGGUGAUUUUUUUCCUCCUUUGGUAGGUCCCAAUUUGAUUUUUUCUAUUCUGCUUCCCACUGUAAAUGCCUCUUCCAGUUACUGUAUUUUAGCUCAACUCAAUUAAAUCUGUAUGGGAGGAGAAAAUAAAGCAGGGCAGGUUCUCAGCUGGUGUAUAUCUGCCUUGCUCAACACAUUUCAAGAGGACUCUCUGCUGCUCUGCCCAGACUAGGAUCCACGCAGCAGUUCUGUGAACACUGAAUUUCAUUGGCUGAAUUUCAUUGUUUUUUCUUUGAUUUAGAGAGCAGUGUAGGGGAAAGGGACCUGGGGGUCCUGGUGGACAGCAGGAUGACCAUGAGCCAGCACUGGGCCCUUGUUGCCAGGAAGGCCAAUGGUACCUGGGGUGGAUUAGAAAGGGUGUGGUUAGUAGGUCAAGAGAGGUUCUCCUUCUCUUCUACUCUGCCCUGGUGACACCACAUCUGGAAUAUUGUGUCCAGUUCUGGGCUCCUCAGUUCCAGAAGGACAGGGAACUGCUGGAGAGAAUCCAGUGCAGGGCAACAAAGAUUAUGAAGGUGUUCCUGCUCUGACAGGGGGAUUGGACUGGAUGAGCUUUCGAGGUCCCUUCCAAUCCCUAACAUUCUGUGAUUCUGUGUGAUGCAGCAAACAUUUGCAGAGGUACCCUUCCAAUCUGACAAAAUUAAAUAUUUAUUUCUGGGGAACAGAGCAAAUUUUUAUACUGAUACAAAAUCAGCCUAUCUUCAUCUAAAAUUCAGCAAAAGUACAGGCCCUGCCUUUCAUUUUCCUAGAAUCUUGACUCAGUGGUCUAAGCAAAGGGCCUGGGGGCAACAGCAUCUGAGAAGCUCCCAAGAGCAACAAAAGAAGUUCAAACCUCACUUGGCAAAAUGUCCUAGGCUCCCCAGGGAAACCCUCAGAAUGGCCUUACAGACAGAAAACAGUCGAGAAAAACCCUGCCCCAAAUCCCUAGGGUCUGGGUUUUUUUACAAAACUUCGUCAAUAUUAAUGUAGCUUCUUUUCCAGCUGAGAAGAAACAGAAAGACUAAAGCUUUGUUUCAGCAUCCCUCCAGAUAGCUCCAACCUUUGUGAGGCAUUGGAGGCAUGAACUUGAUGCUGGUUGGGAACAGAAGAAGUGCAAUUUCUAAGGAAGAGACAAUUUUGAAACAAAACAAAUAAAAAAUAAGAAAGAAAAAAAGAAAAAAAAAUGAAAAAAAGAAGAAAAAAGAAAGAAGAAAGAAGAAAGAAGAAAGAAGAAAGAAGAAAGAAAGAAGAAGAAAGAAGGAGAAAGAAGAAGAAAGGAGAAAAAAAGAAGAAAGAAAAAAAGAAAAAAGAAAAGUGAAAAAAGAAAAAAAAAAACAGAAAAAAAAAAAAAAACAACCAAACAAAAAAACAAAAUCCCCACAAAAAAAAAAGAAGGAAAAAAUAAAAAGAAAAAAAAAUAAAGAAAAAUAAAGAAAAAAAGAAAAAAAUUAAAGAAGGAAAAGCAAAAAAAAAAAAAAAUGAAAGAAGAUGAAAAAAGAAAAAGUAACAAAGGAAAAAGAAAAACAAACAAGAAAAUGCCCCAAACUUAUAACCGAAACUAAAUUCAUUAAUUUUUAUAAUCAGCUCCUGGGCAGCCUAAAACAAACAAACAAACAAAAAAUAAAAAAAAACAAAAAGAAACAAACAAACAUGAACAGUGGGAGGACUUGGGCCUUCUCUCCAGCCGGUGGUGUGGGGAGGUUGGGACAAUAAGUCAAGUGCAUGAAAAUGUCUCUUCCCUAAAAACUCUAACCAGAAUAAUGUCUCCUUCUUUCCACUUCCAGUAGUGGAAAUUUUGUUCUUUUUUGCUUAUCCUGAAGAUCAGACAUCCAGGGAGAGAAAGUAAAAGCCAAUGGCACAACAUCCCUCCUGAGUUAUUUCCUCUAGGAUGAAAAACAAAGUUUCUUCAGGUUCAGAUUGGAUAUUAGGAAAAAAUUAUUUAUGGAAAGGGUUGUCAGGCAUUGGAACAGGCUGCCCAGGGAAAUGCUGGAGUCACCAUCCCUGGAGGUGUUUAAAAGGUGUAUAGACAAGGUUCUUAGGGACAUGGGUUAGUGCUAGACUUAGGUUAUGGUUAGACUUGAUCUUGAGGGUCUCUUCCAACCAAAAUGAUCCUGCAAUUAUAAAUGUGGAAGUUCUGAUCCAGGAAAGUAAGAACGUCCCAGCAGAUACUGGAGCUUCAGUGAAGUCGUACCCUAUUUCAGUUGGUGUUGGAGCUAUCUCUGAGCAGGGCCAUGGUGGUGGCUGCAAGAGCUUUACUUCUCGGAGACAGAAACCCACUGAGAGGUCUUCAUACCGGAGCAAGACACUCAGUCUUGCAGCUACAGUUGCCCAUGAUUAUUCUACUUGCUGAUAGACUUUUAGUUAUUCUUGCACAAAUUUCAUUUCCCAUCUAGUAUCCUUGGUGUUAUCAAUAUUAGUUUUUUUCUCUCUUGUUAGAGGUAAGGCAAGAUACUCUGGCCAACCAGUGUACUCUACUCAGCCUCCAACUUGAUUCCUUCUUCCUCUGCCUCAUUGACCUUGUCUACAUCUGAAUUGUGGUCACAGAGGUAAGGAUGAUUUCCAGAAUGCUCUUUCUGAAAAGCCCAAAGGCAAAUGUUGAAUACAGACAGCUGUGUCCUGCCUGGGUUGCUGUGAACAAGGAAAGAAAAUGUCAUUAUCUGUGGGAGUCCCAUAAGAGAUUUUUCACCUUGCACUGUCGCUGUUAAAAAAGAGCAGUGUUUUUGCUUUAUGUUCUCUUUUAUGACAUCUGAAGGCUGGGAAAAAACAGGAUACAACAGUAAGAGACAGUUAAAGCAGUUGCUUUAAAGCCAAAUCCUUUCAUAAUACCCUUAAAAUCUUAGUGACUAGAAAGUUCACAGGAUGGGGUAAUAAGGGUAAUAUCUUCUAUUAGCUAACUUCAGCUGAUAAAGUUGUGGGGAGGGAGAAAAAGAGCUUUGAGGCACAUAAGCACUUCUUCAAAUCUCUGUAGACUUUGAAAUGUCAUUGUUUCCUGAUUUACCUCAUGAAACAUAAACUUUACUAAACAUGGUACAUUAACGACAAGGUGUGCAAAUGUGCUUUUUCAACUCAGAAACAGGGUUGCUUCUGUUCCAGACAGAGCUACCUCUUUGGACCAAAGAUGACAAAUAAUUCAAGUUUAAACAUAUGUAGUUGUUUGUAGGCCCCAAGACACUUCGUGGCAAAUUCGUUCCAGCUACUUUUCUCAAUGUCCCCAUACAAAUAAGACUGAAGUAUCAAGGCCAGGAACAAGAGAGGAGACAGUUACGUACAGUCUGAGGAUAUGAAGCCACAGUGACUUUUAUAUAUACACAGACACAUGUAUGUAUGUAUAUAUGUAUAAAUAUAUAUAUAUAAAUUAGGAAUCUUGAAACUUAAAUCCAUAUGCAGGAAAGUCUGCAAACAGACAGAAAGCUGAAGGCAUUUUGGAAGAAAAAGAUAUUUUGCCCGCGAGUGUGAAUACAAAAUACAUAUAUGUUUAAUAUCUUACACUUUGGGGAUUCGAGAUUUUCAGCCGGGUAGCUUUCAUCUAAAUAGAAGUCAGGUGUUUUUCAAAAGGUUUUUUUAUUUUAAUGCAUCAAAGUAUUUUUCCAACAGAAAAGGGCUGGCUUUUCAGCCAGAAUGGAAAUUUUUGAUUUGAUCUGAAAUUUUGUUUAUUUCAAGGGCGCAGGGGUAAAAACCAACCAUGGAAACAUUCUGACUAAAAAUGCUUGCUUUAGGUCAAACACUCUUAGAUUUUUUCAAAUGAAGUAUUUCCCUUUAACACUUUAGUUUUUAAAAUAACCUGAAAUUGUCCUCUUUUUUCUUACCAUUUUUAAUUGGGAAGGGAGGAAAAGACUAAAAGGUAACUUAGAAAACCUUUGUGGGGAAUAAAUAGCUUAUGUUAAAAUCAUGGUAUCUUCAAUUAAAAAUAAUUGCCAUCUUCUGCCUAAAGAGCAGAACAUCUGGCCACAUCUGACGGGGCUGAUGAUAUUGCAUAGGUGGCUCCAGGGGCUGCAUUGCACUUGGGAAAAAUUGUACUGUCGAUAAAACUGGCCAUGGGCUGUUCGCUUCCUACCUCCCCAUAUGUUGGGCUCAUUAAUGGAACAUCAAAUGUGCACAUAAAGUCAGCCUAUACCUGCCUAACUUCUGAUAUGAGCAUCCGACCACUGCUUGGGUCCUGUGUUUGAAAAGCAGGGCCAUGUCCUGAGGGCUGUAAAUCCAUUCUUUUUUGAUGGAAAACAAAUCUCAGUGGGGUUUUUUUUAUUGUUGUUGUUUUUUGGUUGUUGUUUUCUUUUUUUCCCCCACAAAAGAGUCUUGUAUUCUGCACUGAGAGCCCGAAUUGCAACGGGGAGGGGGAAGCUGCAAAUCCAGCUCAAGGCUUGAAAGAUUUCCACUGUCAUUGCUAGAGCUCUGCGGAGUCAGAGCCUCUUGGUGCCAAGAACAAACACAUCAUCACCACCACAUAAUGCAAACACGAUGCUCCUGUAACGCUGCUGCGGGACACUGGGAAUCUGCCUCCGGGAAGAGAGGCAGGCAGGGAAAGCCCUGGAAAUCUUUUUUGGUGACUAAAACCAUGCUUUAUUGCAAAGAGUGUAAGGAGCCGUCUCUCCUUUCCAGACUGAAUUCCCACCUGCAGUGCGUUGCUGAUUUAAUAAGGGCUGAAAGGGAUUAUCAAGUUGUGAAGUUGUUUGCAUCCUACUGGGUUUGUAAUGAAUGAAGGUUUUUGUUCAGCUCAGCCUAACUAAAUGCUUCUAAGAGUGAUCAUAGCUGGGGAAAGGCUGUAAGUGACCAGCGUUUUUGGUGCAUGGUUGAUAUUUGAAUAUUACAUGAUGAAAUGGUGGGUGCAUAAACUCCUUGUUAGUUUUGUAACAUGCUUCUUUCCCUUACUCCUGCCACAACACUUGCUUGAGGCUAAGUCCUUGUGAUGUUUUUUCAGCCAGCUUUGGUAACUUCACAUUCAGCAAAAGAGAAAAAAAAUCAGUAUCUUCAGCUCCUAUAAUUAAUGAGCAACAGAAAAUUUCCCUCAUGGGUCUUUGUGUUCACCUUCUCCUGUAACUCUGCCACAGGUUGCCUCACCCUUGGGCAGUUUGUAUCGGCUGCAGUUCUGCUUACAAAACUAAUGACAAGAAAGAUACUCAUUGCUUGCCAAUUCCCUGCAAACCAGUUGCAUCCCCUGCUGAGAAGGACAAAGAGCGCCACAGGAAUGCCAAGGGAAAAGCCUCUUAAUCCAUCUCAUUUUCAACCCAAUAAAAGAGCAGAGCAACUCUGCUCAAUUAACAGUCACAAAAAACGCCUGUCCCUUUGGAGGCAGAGCUGAGUGGCAAGAAUUUAAAACUCUCUUCUUCCUGGAUGUAUUUAAUAAUCUGACACCUGCACGAGGAGCAUGUCUCCUAGACAGUCUUCUCUCCCUCUUGAAAGGUCAAACCUGCCCUGUUACAGUCCUCUCUACCUAGUUUGGAUGGGGUUUUCUCCCUCUCUUACCACAGUAAUUGUUUCCAGUCCCUCUCAUGUUUCCUGUCCAUCAGUGGACUUGGUCUUGAGAUGGUGACCCAAUAAGUUAGGUGUCCUCUUUGCCAUUCGCUUCAUUGGUGCCCAUGCUAAAACAGUGUUACAAACAUGAGCUCUACCAGGUCAGGAAAAUAUGCAGAGCCCCAGAUCUCCUCUUAAUCUAGCAGAAUCUAGGGAAUGCAAGUUGUCUCAGUGUUUCUUCUCUUGAAAUUUCACGCCACACGUGCCAUCCACCACUCAAGAUUCUGUAGCAGCUAAUAGCAAAAGUCUAAUAUCUUCCUAAAAUUUCCCAUUGCUUCAAGCAAAUAAGCAACUUCACCAUCUGCUCCCCUAUGGCUCUGGUCCUUACCUAUAUAUCUCCCAUAUCUUUUCAUGUCACAGCUUUCCACAGCCUCCCUCCAGCAGCCAUACUAUUCAGACAUUUUUUUCAUUUCCUUCUCCCACUCCUGCCUCUGAGCACUCCUUCCUUCCUGCAGAUAGUGUUUGGGAAGGGAUCACAGCACACUUAAUCAAGUAGAUUGUCCACCCAGUCCAAGUCUAUUCUCCCCAGUCAGCCAACAGAUCUUUCCAUAAUGCUUCUACAGUUAACAGAGACAAACACCUCCAAGGGCUGAGAAACCAUUCGUAAGCCAAACUCCUUCUCUGAACCUUUCAGAAGAGCCUGACUCAAUUCCUUGGGAACCAAGGAAGAUUUGUAACA